rnacentral:rRNA from 1 species
GAUGAACGCUGGCGGCGUGCUUAACACAUGCAAGUCGAGCGAGAAGUUUUGAAAAGAUUCUUCGGAUGAAAUUUAAAAUGGAAAGCGGCGGACGGGUGAGUAACGCGUAGGCAACCUGCCCCAUACAAAGGGAUAGCAUUUGGAAACGAAUAUUAAUACCUUAUGAAACUUAACUAGUGCAUGCUAGGUAGGUCAAAGAUUUAUCGGUAUGGGAUGGGCCUGCGUCUGAUUAGCUAGUUGGUGAGGUAACGGCUCACCAAGGCGACGAUCAGUAGCCGACCUGCGAGGGUGAACGGCCACAUUGGACCUGAGACACGGUCCAAACUCCUACGGGAGGCAGCAGUGGGGAAUAUUGCACAAUGGGGGAAACCCUGAUGCAGCAACGCCGCGUGAACGAUGAAGGCCUUUGGGUCGUAAAGUUCUGUUCUAGGUGAUGAAACCUGACAGUAACCUAGGAGAAAGCCCCGGCUAACUCCGUG